UGGGGGAGUGCAGUGAUUGUGG
rnacentral:miRNA from 1 species